AGAACGAACGCUGGCGGCGUGCCUAACACAUGCAAGUCCAACGUGAAAGGGGAGCAAUCCCCCGGUAGGGUGGCAAACGGGUGAGUAAUACAUGGGUGAUCUACCCUAGGGAUGGGGAUAUCCUUCCGAAAGGAGGGGCAAUACCGAAUAUUGUCCGGAGCCGUGAAGGGUUCCGGGGAAAGGGAGGCCUCUGAUACAAGCUUUCGCCUUAAGAUGAGCCCAUGGCCCAUCAGCUAGUUGGUAGGGUAAAGGCCUACCAAGGCUACGACGGGUCGCUGGUCUGAGAGGACGACCAGCCACACUGGCACUGAGAUACGGGCCAGACUCCUACGGGAGGCAGCAGUGAGGAAUAUUGCGCAAUGGGGGAAACCCUGACGCAGCAACGCCGCGUGUGGGAAGAAGGCCUUCGGGUCGUAAACCACUUUUGCACGGGACGAAAAAGGGAUAUCGAACAAAUAUCCCCGAUGACGGUACCGUGAGAAUAAGCCACGGCUAACUCUGUGCCAGCAGCCGCGGUAAGACAGAGGUGGCAAGCGUUGUUCGGAAUUACUGGGCGUAAAGAGUCUGUAGGUGGUUUGUCAAGUCUUUGGUGAAAGGCCGUAGCUUAACUAUGGGAAUGCCAA
rnacentral:rRNA from 1 species